rnacentral:tRNA from 1 species
GGGGAAGUAGCUCAGUUUGUUAGAGCAGUUGCAAAAACAUCGAUUCCGUUCUAGGAAAUGGAAAUGUAUAAUUCGACAGCAGGUCAGUGGUUCAAAUCCAUUCUUCUCCA